CAGUCGUGAGGAAGGUAGUGUAGUUAAUAGCUGCAUUAUUUGACGUUAGCGACAGAAGAAAGCACCGGCUAACUCCGUGCCAGCAGCCGCGGUAAUACGGAGGGUGCGAGCGUUAAUCGGAAUUACUGGGCGUAAAGCGCAUGCAGGUGGUUUGUUAAGUCAGAUGUGAAAGACCCGGGGCGUCAACCUCGGAAUAGCAUUUGUAAACUAGGCAGACUAGAGUACUGUAGAGGGGGGUAGGAAUUUCAGGUGUAGCGGUGAAAUAGCGUAGAGAUCUGAAGGAAUACCGGUGGCGAAGGCGGCCCCCUCGGACAGAUACUGACACUCAGAUGCGAAAGCGUGGGGAGCAAACAGGAUUAGAUACCCUGGUAG
rnacentral:rRNA from 1 species